UACAGCCUGGCACAUGAGGCAUGUGCCGACCUGGCAUUGAUCUUGCAGGUUUAGGGGAAGUGGACAUGCAGAUGGGAAUGUGUGGAGCUGAUAGAGAGGAAAGAAUUCGUUGUUUCUGCUUCCUGAGUGUGUUGAACGCACUACUGUGAGUCAGGAGGCUGCAAGGUCAAAGGCCAAAGCAUGAGCAGGAGUCUCAGUGGGGGGCUUCCUUGGGAAAGGCGUGGCUGGAGGCGUGACUUGGGAUUAGUUGCUGGUUAAAGGGAUGCAGGGGUAUUCUCCAGUAUGUGGUCCUAGCAUGAUUUAGGGCAGGGCAGCGCAGAGUGGCUUGGUGAGUGAGUUGAUAGAGGGGGUAGAUGCCUUGCUCCCCACUAAGUUGUUACCAUCUCUGGGAAUCAGACAGCCCUGGGAGAGGCAGUCCCUCUUGGUGCUGCACAUCCCUCCAAGAUGUUGAAACAGAGUAGGAAAUACCCAUCGAGGCAGCACAGUGGGCACACAGGCCACCUGGACGUGACUGGCUCCAAGGGUGCUGACUUAGGUAACACCCGGACUUCUCAUGCACCAUAAGGUGAGGAACAGACCCCUCAGGGCCACAUCUUUAAAGCCUGCCUCUCCUGGUAUCAGUUCACAGCAGGGUAGCCAGAGCAGAAUCAAUUGUCCAGGGACCUUCUGCUAGCACCACCACUGUUCAUCUCUCAUUCCGCCCAGGAAAGGUCUUAGGCAGCUGGUCGACCCUCAGGUCCCCCCAAACUGUGAGUCCAGACCUGAAUUUCAUAGAUUUCUGCUCCUGCUCAUGUUGAAUGGAGGCUUGAGUGUCGCCAUUGUCCCAGAGGACCCAUGACCACCCCCAGAACCAGCCUCACCACUCCAGCUUUGAGAUGUUCCAGAGAAUUCCAUCUCUUGCGUCACACCCGUGUGAAGUACGCAGGCAUGACUGCUCUCAUCUCUCAGCUCAGGAACACUGCAAACUAGUGGUGUGACCUUCAGGAACCUUCCUUUGUUGGGAAAGGAAAGGUGGGGGUCGGUGACCCGGUGACCCGUGAGACUGCUCCCGCCCCGUGCUGCUCUGGCGCAGUAGGCAGCUUGCUCCCCCUGCACAAAGCCUCACCCCUACAGCCAGUGCUCAUCCCUCUGAGUCUCUUGAUUUCCUUGAGUCUUUCAGUCUCAUUAGGGGAGACAUCACUGCCUUAGUACAAUGAUGAUAUGGUGCCCGCAACUUAAUUUCUGGGGACAGCACAUUGUGCUACUAUAGGCUCAGUGCUAAUAAUCAAAAUUAUAUGUUCUGCUUACUGUGACUUUUUUGUGGUUUCUGGGGGAAAAUGCAGAUGCAUUUCAAUUAUUCUAAGGGAAUUUUGAUUAACCCCCUGGGUAGAGUUCUUUAUGCCGCCUG